AUCUGUUAUCCAGCAACUUCAUGCUCGGAAAGGUCGACUUAUAGUUAUGUGUAGUAAAGGCGAUGCAGCAUCUGUCACUGUUGGUGGAUCUUGCCGCGUAGUUGAAGUUCCUCAGGUUGAGGACUGCCUGCAGCCAGUAAUCAACAUAGUUCCUCUACAGCUUUUGGCAUAUCAUCUGACCGUUCUCCGUGGAUACAACGUGGAUCAGCCACGAAAUCUUGCGAAAAGCGUGACAACCCAAUGAGCUCAGAAUCAACCUGCAUAUCUUUUGCUAUGGUGAUUUCAUUUACCUCAGAUCCAAUAGUCUGAUCACCCCUAUUAUCUAACCUUGAGAUGUCGCAUCGUACUCCCUAGUGCAUCCAGACAGGCGACGCUUAUAAAGUCGCAUCCUCUUUGCUGCUGACUCUAUACAUAACAUUGUUUUCUUACUGCUAGAAUCAGUUAGGAUAACUGCUUCGUGUACAGAUUGUCCUAUACAAAUUUGUUCGUCAACUGAUAUUGUCGACAACAUUAUCUCAAACAAAUGUUUGGCUUCUUA